AUGAACAGAGAGUGCAGACAGAGGUGGCUUGAGAAACAGCAGCACGUAAUGUGGUUUGGCAGGACAGUCCCAGAGGAACUCAUCUGCUUGGCUCAGCUUAGAGGAGGUUUUAGCAAGGUACACACUAACCAUCGAUGCUUCUCUACUCUGAAGUGAAACCUCUGUAAAUGAAGAUGUUAGAAGCAUGGAGUUGGCACAUGUGAACCUGGAAGAUGCAUCUGUCUGAUUUUUCCAGUCUGAGGAUUUUUUAACUGCAUUAAUAGCACAGACGAUGGUAAAAUAUCACCUCCCCAGGCUGCUUUGCUCUCCUAACACAUAAUGUCUUUUAAGAAAAAAAGUGAUAGGAGACUGGGGUGAAGAAAAGGCCAGAGAAAUGAGGAUUUGAAAAGUUUAAUAUUUUCAGUCUUCACUGCAUUAGGCUUUUAAGCCUCUCACUUUGAUGAAUUUUGUGCCUAUGGUGUGGAAACGGAAAUUCUACCCAGGCAGUUUUAUCUGUGAUCUCAGGGUUCUGUUAAUUACUUGCUCUAAAUAAAUAAACAACAUUUAAAUAAGGAGACUGAUAA
rnacentral:lncRNA from 1 species